rnacentral:rRNA from 1 species
AUGGCCAACAAGGCCGGCGACACCCCGCUGCACGCGGCGGUGAAGCACGGCAGGAGUGCCAUGGCGCUCAAGCUGUUGGACGCCGAGCCAGGCCGCAGCCACGCGUUCAACGUGGAGAAGCUGUCGCCGCUGCACAUCGCCGCCCGGGAGGGCCUCGCCGACGUCGUGGCCAAGAUCGCCAGCCAGCCCUGGGUCCACGAGAGGUAUGACCCUUCCGACUCCGGCACCCCCCUGCACCAGGCCAUCCUCGGCGGCCACACCCGGGUGGUGGAGAUUUUGCCGGAGGUGACGUGGAUCCUGGAUAUAGGGCUGACGGACUCGAGCGAGAACAACCUCCUGCACUACGCGGCGCAGAAGAACAACGCACGCCUGGUGAAGCUGUUACUCAACCGGAAGUCGGAUCUCGCCUACAGGAGGAAUCGGAAGCUCAUGUCCCCGCUCCACGUCGCCGCCGACCACGGCUCAACAGAGGCAAUGAAAGAGAUGCUGACGCGGUGCCCCGACGUGACGGAGAUGGUUGAUAGUAUCGGCAGGAACGCGUUGCAUGUGGCCAUCGACAGCGACAAAGUGGACGUGCUCCGGUGCCUGCUCAAGUACGUGCGCGGCGUGGAGAUUAUCAACCGGGUCGACCACGGAGGCAACACGCCGCUUCAUCUGGCCGCCUCGUUAAAUCGAGCAGCGCUUGGCCUGGUGCUGCUCAAGAACCCCAGGGUGAACCCAUGCCUUCUCAACAGGGACGGCCAAACCGCACGGAGCAUUACCGAGAGGCAUACAGUAUCUGAGGAUAGCAUCACGGUAACGCUCUCCACUAAUACUAUCAGUUAGUACCAUAGUAUUCAACAUUGUAGAAGGAAGAAUCCAUCAAAUGCAAGGGGCAGCAGCUGCCCCCUGAAACAAAGGACUUCAGCCAGUAUGUACAGCAAAGGAUGUAUGGGGACCUACACCCUCGUGGCAACUCUCAUCGCCACGGUGACCUUCUCUUCCACCUUCACCAUGCCUGGCGGGUACGACCAGCAGAACGGUACCGCUCUUCUGGCGCACAGGAUGACAUUCAAAGUGUUCGUCAUCGCCAACACCCUGGCAAUGCUAACCUCAAUCGUCCUUGUCUUCGUCUUCAUCUGGGCAAGAAGGGAGCAGCUGGGUCUUAGAGCAUCUGUCGUAGGGUGGAGCCACUGGCUCACAGUCAUUGCUUGCCUCUCCAUGGUCGCGUCCAUGACGACUUCUGUCUACCUCACCGUUGCCGCAACGUCCCUUUGGCUCGCGUGUGUGGUCAUUGCAAUGGGUUGCAGCACUCCUGUCGUCAUGUUUCUCAUCUUGGGCAAGGACUUGUUCUCCACGCCUGUGUAG